GACGAACGCUGGCGGCGUGCUUAACACAUGCAAGUCGAACGGAGUGGCGAACGGGUGAGUAACCCGUGGGUGAUCUGCCUUGCACUUCGGGAUAAGCUUGGGAAACUGGGUCUAAUACCGGAUAUUGCAAGAUGAGCUCGCGGCCUAUCAGCUUGUUGGUGGGGUAAUGGCCUACAAAGGCGUCGAAGGGUAGCCGGCCUGAGAGGGUGUACGGCCACAUUGGUACGGGGAGAGAGGCCAGACUCCUACGGGAGGCAGCAGUGGGGAAUAUUGCACGAUGGGCGGAGGCAUGAUGCAGCGACGCCGCGUGGGGGAUGAAGGCCUGCGGGUUGUAAACUCCUUUCGACAGGGACGCGGUACCUGUAUAAGAAGCACCGGCUAAAUACGUGCCAGCAGCCGCGGUAAUUC
rnacentral:rRNA from 1 species